UCAAAUAAAUAAAUAACCUCCGCACCAAUAAGAGAGGCAGCGGCUGCCGAGCAGGCUGGGAUCGAAUGGGAGAGGUCUUCCCUGGGCUGUAUUUGUUUGUUUGUGACUGGAGCCGCAAAGUUCAGAGCCAAACGUGUUGCUUUCCGGCGGCGGCGGCGGCGGCGACCGCCCCGCUUCACCUGCUCCGCUGACGGGGCGCCCGCCCGGCCGGGGCCGCCCCGCCGCUCUGCGGGCCCGCAGCCCGCCCGCCUCCCCCGCCGCCGCGGCCGCAGGACGGGAGAGCAGCGCGGGGCUGCGCCUCUCGCCCACCCGCCCGCCUUCCCCCCGCGGCUGCCGGGGGGCAACGGACAGGUGUAUCUACAGAAAGACAGAAAAUUAAUCAGAGGAACAGAACAGUCUCUGGAUUUUCUUCCGAUGUGCAGACUACACUGAUUGAAGUAUUGAAUCCAUUUCCAGCACCGCCUUCCUGUAAAUAUUCCAUUUCAAUAAAUUGCCAAAAGGAACUGCAAAAUACUUCAAAGGCAAUAAUUUGAAUUCUAACUUCAUGCUUUCAUUGAGAACAUAGAUUCUACAGCAAGGAAGUAACGCUGGCAGCAAAAUUUUAUUCCCUUGAUUGAAAUGUGCAUUUAGAGCUGGGACUGUGAGACUACGACAACCUUUCCCUUGAGUAAUGUCAAUAUCGGCUAUCACUUUGGCAGAAUCAGCCAGCUCAGUGAAGACAGAAAAACCCUCCUUCCCUCCUGUUUUUUCAUCUGCUGGUGGUAUUCAAAGUGACCUUCCUUUAUAAAUAUUGGUAGAUGUUAAAGGUGGCCUGUCAUUUUCAAUAAGAGAUUUACAUCCCAGACCCAUAUUAUUUCCCCAUCAACAGUCCUCAAAGCAG